rnacentral:rRNA from 1 species
AGCGAACGCUGGCGGCAGGCCUAACACAUGCAAGUCGAACGAACCUUUCGGGGUUAGUGGCGGACGGGUGAGUAACACGUGGGAACGUGCCCUUAGGUUCGGAAUAACUCAGGGAAACUUGUGCUAAUACCGAAUGUGCCCUUCGGGGGAAAGAUUUAUCGCCGUUAGAGCGGCCCGCGUCUGAUUAGCUAGUUGGUUGAGGUAAUGGCUCACCAAGGCGACGAUCAGUAGCUGGUCUGAGAGGAUGAUCAGCCACAUUGGGACUGAGACACGGCCCAGACUCCUACGGGAGGCGGCAGUGGGGAAUCGUGCGCAAUGGGCGAAAGCAUGACGCAGCCAUGCCGCGUGAAUGAUGAAGGUAUUAGGAUUGUAAAAUUCUUUCACCGGGGACGAUAAUGACGGUACCCGGAGAAGAAGCCCCGGCUAACUUCGUG